AUUGAACGCUGGCGGCAGGCCUAAUACAUGCAAGUCGAGCGAGCGGCGGACGGGUGAGUAAUGUAUGGGGAUGUGCGUGAUAGAGGGGGAUAACUACUGGAAAACGUGGAUAAUACCGCAUAAUAUCGGAUGAACCCAUACGGGAUUAGCUAGUAGGUGGGGUAAAGGCUCACCAAGGCGACGAUGCCUAGCUGGUCUGAGAGGAUGAUCAGCCACACUGGGACUGAGACACGGCCCAGAAUCCGACGGGAGGUAGCAGUGGGGAAUAUUGGCCAAUGGGCGCAAGCCUGAUGGAGCCAUGCCGCGUGAAUGAAGAAGGCCUUAGGGUUGUAAAGUCCUUUCAGCGGUGAGGCGGUACCCGCAGAAGAAGCCCCGGCUAACUCCGUGCCAGCAGCCGCGGUAAUAC
rnacentral:rRNA from 1 species